UCCGAGCUCUGACGCAAGGGGGCAAUCCCGGCUUUUACAGGCCCUUCCCCACCGUGCCGCGGAAUCCAGCCCCGGCCUCGAAGCCAGUCCCCGACUCCCUUCAGGCCCAGCCUUCCCUCCGUCAGACCGCGACCGCGACCGCUCAGCCUCCGUGUCCAGCUCCCGCUCCGACCUCUCCAGACAGGCUGCUGCCUCAGGAGAACCUCCCGCUUCUCAGUUUAGUCCGUGUCUUGAUCCUCACAAGGCAAAGGCAAGCAGUUCUAGCUCUUUAGCCAAGAGCUACCUAACCGGCCUCUAACCAGCUCCGUAGUGGCUCCUCGGUGUGGGGAGAGACAGAAGGGGCGGCAGAAAAGACCAAGCACAGCUAAGCGGUGCGGGUCUGCUUCCAUUCACUCAUUCAAAAUAGCGUUGAGCACUAACUUUGUGCCUAGCCUUGGGCUGGGUGCUGGAGUCACAGAGGGAUAAAAAUCUGUAGGAAGCCCAGCGAAAAGACCUCUGGAAUGAUUGUUGGUAUUCCCACAAAGAACAGGGCUCCUUCUGAGCAGCGGGCUGGACUGACUUGGAGGCCUUGGAGAGGAGUAUGCCUGGGAACUGGAGAAAGACUGCUCGAGGCGCGUUUCUCUCACAAAGAGCCUGCACGCUGACCUUGCUAAGUACCUGCUACCCCACAACCAGUGUUUUUUUGUUAAUACCCUUUCCAGCAGUAGGAAAAUCACCAUGGUGGGGUAGGGAUAGACUGGUUUGGUUUAUUCUCCUUGAGGUUUUGCCGUAGGUAUCCCAACGU